rnacentral:rRNA from 1 species
GAUGAACGCUGGCGGCGUGCCUAAUACAUGCCAGUCGAGCGAACGGACGAGAAGCUCGCUUCUCUGAUGUUAGCGGCGGACGGGUGAGUAACACGUGGAUAACCUACCUAUAAGACUGGGAUAACUUCGGGAAACCGGAGCUAAUACCGGAUAAUAUUUUGAACCGCAUGGUUCAAAAGUGAAAGACGGUCUUGCUGUCACUUAUAGAUGGAUCCGCGCUGCAUUAGCUAGUUGGUAAGGUAACGGCUUACCAAGGCAACGAUGCAUAGCCGACCUGAGAGGGUGAUCGGCCACACUGGAACUGAGACACGGUCCAGACUCCUACGGGAGGCAGCAGUAGGGAAUCUUCCGCAAUGGGCGAAAGCCUGACGGAGCAACGCCGCGUGAGUGAUGAAGGUCUUCGGAUCGUAAAACUCUGUUAUUAGGGAAGAACAUAUGUGUAAGUAACUGUGCACAUCUUGACGGUACCUAAUCAGAAAGCCACGGCUAACUACGUG